rnacentral:rRNA from 1 species
AUUGAACGCUGGCGGCAUGCCUUACACAUGCAAGUCGAACGGGGGUAGCAAUACCCUAGUGGCGAACGGGUGAGUAAAGCAUCGGAACGUACCCAGUCGUGGGGGAUAACGUAGCGAAAGUUACGCUAAUACCGCAUACGUCCUGAGGGAGAAAGCGGGGGAUCGCAAGACCUCGCGCGAUUGGGCGGCCGAUGUCGGAUUAGCUAGUUGGUAGGGUAAAGGCCUACCAAGGCGACGAUCCGUAGCUGGUCUGAGAGGACGACCAGCCACACUGGGACUGAGACACGGCCCAGACUCCUACGGGAGGCAGCAGUGGGGAAUUUUGGACAAUGGGGGAAACCCUGAUCCAGCCAUGCCGCGUGAGUGAAGAAGGCCUUCGGGUUGUAAAGCUCUUUCAGACGGAAAGAAAUUGCGCAGGUAAAUAAUCUGUGUAGAUGACGGUACCGUAAGAAGAAGCACCGGCUAACUACGUGCCAGCAGCCGCAGUAACAC